AAUGAGGUGGCUGAUUUAGGCGGUAAAUUGUAAAUUUAUUCAAGGUUUUAUUACCUCUCAUUA
rnacentral:tRNA from 1 species